GAUCCUGGCUCAGAAUCAACGCUGGCGGCGUGCCUCAGACAUGCAAGUCGAACGAUUAAACUUUCCUUCGGGAAAGAUAUAAAGUGGCGCACGGGUGAGUAACACGUAGGUAAUGUACCUUUGGGUGGGGAAUAACUUAGGGAAACUUAAGCUAAUACCGCAUAAUGCAGCGGCUCCUUCGGGAGACAGUUGUUAAAGAUUUAUCGCCUAAAGAGCAGCCUGCGGCAGAUUAGCUAGUUGGUAAGGUAACGGCUUACCAAGGCUACGAUCUGUAUCCGACCUGAGAGGGUGGUCGGACACACUGACACUGAAUAACGGGUCAGACUCCUACGGGAGGCAGCAGUCGGGAAUUUUGGGCAAUGGGCGAAAGCCUGACCCAGCAACGCCGCGUGAAGGAUGAAGUCUUUCGGGAUGUAAACUUCGUAAGAAUAGGAAGAAUAAAUGACGGUACUAUUUGUAAGGUCCGGCUAACUACGUGCCAGCAGCCGCGGUAAUACGUAGGGACCAAGCGUUGUUCGGAUUUACUGGGCGUAAAGGGCGCGUAGGCGGCGUGACAAGUCAAUUGUGAAAUCUCCGGGCUUAACUCGGAACGGUCAAUUGAUACUGUUGUGCUAGAGUACAGAAGGGGCAAUCGGAAUUCUUGGUGUAGCGGUGAAAUGCGUAGAUAUCAAGAGGAACACCUGAGGUGAA
rnacentral:rRNA from 1 species